rnacentral:rRNA from 1 species
CCUAAAGCGUUCGUAGCCGGUUUAGUAAAUUCUUGGGUAAAUCGUACAGCUUAACUGUGCGGAUUCCGGGGACACUACUAGACUUGAGACCGGGAGAGAUUAGAGGUACUUGCAGGGGAGCGGUGAAAUGUUGUAAUCCUGCAGGGACCACCAGUGGCGAAGGCGUCUAAUCAUAACGGCUCUGACGGUGAGGAACGAAACCCUGGGGCGCAAACGGGAUUAGAUACCCCGGUAGUCCAGGGCGUAAACGCUGCUGACUUGGUGUUGGAGAUCCUACGAGGGUGUCCAGUGCUGGCGCGAAGGUAUUAAGUCAGCCGCCUGGGGAGUACGGUCGCAAGACUGAAACUUAAAGGAAUUGGCGGGGGAGCACUGCAACGUGUGGAGCGUGCGGUUUAAUUGGAUUCAACGCCGGAAAACUCACCGGGGGCGACGGUUACAUGAAGGCCAAGCUGAUGACUUUGCCUGAUUUUCCGAGAGGUGGUGCAUGGCCGCCGUCAGUUCGUACCGUAAGGCGUUCUGUUAAGUCAGAUAACGAACGAGACCUCCGUCACCAUUUGCUAUCUUCUUCUCCGGAAGGGGAGCACUAUGGUGGUACCGCCGCUGUUAAAGCGGAGGAAGGAGGGGGCAACGGUAGGUCAGUAUGCCCCGAAUCUCCCGGGCUACACGCGCGCUACAAAGGGCAGGACAAUGGGCUUCGACACCGAAAGGUGAAGGCAAUCCUGAAACCUGCUCGUAAUUCGGAUUGAGGGCUGCAAUUCGCCCUCAUGAAGCUGGAAUACGUAGUAAUCGCGGGUCAACAUCCCGCGGUGAAUAUGCCCCUGCUCCUUGCACACACCGCCCGUCAAACCACCUUAGUUGGGUCUGGACGAGGGUUUGUCUUCUGACACGCUCGAAUCUGGGUUCAGCGAGGAGGGUUAAGUCGUAACAAGGUAUCCGUA